GGCUUUCAUUAUACUUCACAGUACUAUUCACCAAGGUCUGAUUUAACAAAUCUACGAAUAUUCACAAGGUUUUCAAAAUGAGGGAGGUCUCAAUCAUUCUACAAGUCGUACUCAAAAUCAUCCUCUUCACCCUCCUCUGAUUCCUCGCCAGGCUUUUCCUGGAAUCCUCCUCUUGAAGAUCUUCCACCUAAGGGCCUGAAAUUGGUUUUUACAACAACCAAUGAGACUAUGCCUCAGCGAGUUCUACUCUCUAAAACUUGAUUAGGAAACCAAUACACCACUAGGUUACCUAGCACAACACGAGUCAGAUGACUUACCUUAGCAUCAGUUUCCAACCUGCAAUUUAAGGUUAUGCACAUAUGCCUCAUAUAUUGCAUUAAAACAUUCAAUCAAUUCACAACCUCUAGAUCAACUCAUUGAUCAAUUGACCUAGUCGAUUCACAUGUCAGUCAGACCAUCUUUGGGUCGCUUCACUUCCCAUCAUCACACCCCCAGCAGUACACUUAGUCAUAGAGCUUCAUUAGUGCUCCCGGGCAUUACUUCUGCCAAGGUGACGUGUAUAAUGGACAUCACUCGUGCGUUCUUUAAGGCGCCGUUUUCACCAGUGAUAUCCUUUAAUCACCGAACCACAUAUGCCUCAUUACAUCGGUCUUGAUUGGUUUCAGCCGAGAAUUUCCCCAAUUCACUUUCAUAGUUCCCUCUGCUCAUCAAUGCUAAAUAGUCAUACUCGGCCAUCAAUUAAUCAAUCACUCAAUUUCAUUCAAUUUGGGAUAAGUCCCUAAUUUGCACAAUCAAUUCAGUUUCACACAAUGUAGAGCUCAAAUAAAUAAACGGAUUGUACCACGACAAUCAGCACGAAAUUCCGGUCACCGGCCAUCCCGGGUGAAUUUCCGGAAAAAUAAAUAAAUAAAUAAAUAAAUAAUUUCAAAAAUUAAAUAAAUAGAUACGAUAAAUUCAAUUUCGCACAAUAUAAGGCUCAAUUAAAUAAACGGACUGCACCAUGAUCAUCAGCAUAAAAUCCCGAUCACUGACCAUCCCAGUUGAAUUUCCGGAAAAUAAAUAAUUAAAUAAUUAAUUUCGAAAUUUAAUAUUUAAUUCCUAAAAAUUCCAUUUAGGCCCGAAUUGUCUAAUUAACACCCGAUAAGGGACGGGAAAAAUCCCAAGAUGCAUUCAAUAAUUAAUAGGACAUGCCUACCUACUAAUUACACCAUCAAUUUAACUAACAUGCAUCGACGAGUCUCUAAUUUAAUUAUUUUAAUCUAAUAUAUCCACCUAAUUGCAAUUAAUUAAAUCUAAUUAACCCUUAGGCAUAUUAGUCUACUAAGAAAGCAUUAGUGAGUAAAACACACUUGCACAAAACGAAGACCGGGACACGGUGAUGACGACGCUACGGCGGCCGAACUUGGGCCGGGCCAAGAACUUCGCAAGCCCGAAGAAACUCUGGACUUCAAGAUUGGGCUGACUUCUUUAAUCACUUGGGCUUGAAAAUACUGAAUUGUGGGCUGCUUGCUGGGCCAGAAUUAAACUGAAAAUGGGCUCUCUCUCUUUGGGCUGAAACUUGAAAUACAACUGAACUGGCCGAGCUUCAAGUGGCUGAGUUGCUGAAUUUUUGGGCCCAGCUAGAUUGAAAAUUACUGGGCUUGAAGACUACAGGUUUGGGCCGAGAUUGCUGACUUCGCUGGACUGCUGGAGAUGGACCGGUUGGAUGGGCUCGCUGGCCACAUGCAGCGAAGGAAAGGGGCACGGAUGCAGGGGCGCGUGGACUGAGUGAACGCAGGACCUGGAAGAUGGAGCAGCUACUGCGUUUCGCUGUCUUCGCUCGGUGGGAGCUGACGCCGAAGUGAAGGACGCGUGGAGAGGGAAGAAGCUGUGGCACCAAGCUGCGUUGGUGAGAACGUGGGGCUUCGGUUAACGAUUGAGACCCCAACAAUUGACGGUUGACUAGCUGGACGUGGCAGAGACAAAUGAAAGUGGAGCAGGGGCGUGUGUCUUCGGUGGAAUGGAGCUGCACGUGAAGAUGGCAGCUGGCGGUCUUCAAUCGAGCUGGAGUUGACUGGGUGCGUGGGGAUGGAGCUGCUUCGGUGUUGCCUCGGCGUCUUCAACUCGAUUGCCGACUGGUACAGCGAAGUGGAAGAUGGACGCGUGGAGUUGAGAGCUUCGGUGGGAUCUUGGCGUCGAAGCCAGUCAAUUCUUUUUGUUGAAAUGGACUGUUCGUGUGGCAGAGGGAUGAACAAAAAUGGAGAAACACUUUGGUGGAAUUCGUGGGCUUCCUCGGUGAGAGAGAGAGAGAGAGAGAGUUCACGAAUAUGGAUAGGAACGGAGGAGAAGGC
rnacentral:lncRNA from 1 species